rnacentral:misc_RNA from 1 species
AAAGUGCGAAAAGUAAUGCGACACGCAUACCACUGCGAGGCAUCCAGUAUUUGAACGCAAAUGGCACGUAGACAGGAAUGUCUACGUAUGGGCGGUUGAGGGUCGAAUACAGUAUCACGCCUUGAUGGGUGUGGAUGUGUCCCAAAUUGGGAUUGAAUACAUGGGGGGUGUGAUGAUAUGUAAAGUGUUCAUCCCGAGGACAAGAAUAAUAUUCUCAGUUCAGGGUGGGCAUGUGGGGUGUGAUAUCAUAUCACAUACCAAAUCAUACAUCACCUCCCAGGCUAUACAGCUGACGUUGGAUAGCACAUGAUACUUGGACAUUCGGCUACGCCAAAUGUCCAAUUACUAAGACGACCUCAGCCCCCCAGGACUACCCGCUGAACUUAA